ACGCACGCUGGCGGCGUGCUUCACACCUGCCAGUCGAACGGAAAGGCCCUGCUUUUGUGGGGUGCUCGAGUGGCGAACGGGUGAGUAACACGUGAGUAACCUGCCCUUGACUUUGGGAUAACUUCAGGAAACUGGGGCUAAUACCGGAUAGGAGCUCCUGCUGCAUGGUGGGGGUUGGAAAGUUUCGGCGGUUGGGGAUGGACUCGCGGCUUAUCAGCUUGUUGGUGGGGUAGUGGCUUACCAAGGCUUUGACGGGUAGCCGGCCUGAGAGGGUGACCGGCCACAUUGGGACUGAGAUACGGCCCAGACUCCUACGGGAGGCAGCAGUGGGGAAUAUUGCACAAUGGGCGGAAGCCUGAUGCAGCAACGCCGCGUGCGGGAUGACGGCCUUCGGGUUGUAAACCGCUUUCGCCUGUGACGAAGCGGGAGUGACGGUAAUGGGUAAAGAAGCACCGGCUAACUACGUG
rnacentral:rRNA from 1 species